rnacentral:lncRNA from 1 species
CCCGCGCCAGCCCGGCUGCCGGGACCCGGGACCGGGACCAGCGACUGGCCAGCAUGCCAGGCGAUGGACUUGCUCAAAUGGCCUCUGCUCCUGCCACCCUGCCUUAGACCACUGCCACAUAAGCCAACACCUGACUUGCCCCAAAUCAUCUCUGCUUUUACGUGACUGAUCUUUGGAUCCAAGUGGACUUUUCUGUUUGAGGAAACAUUCCACUGGAUGUGCUUGAUACUCUGACUGCACAGUGACACCACCUGGGGAGACUCCACAGGAGCCACUCCCUGGACACGUGACUCCACUGGGCUGUCUGGCACACAGAUGGGGUAACACGUGGUUUCACAUCUCAAAGGAGAAGCGGCCUUAUUCUGUGGGGUGGAGGGUCAGCAAGAGGGAAUUUGCUCCAAGGAGCAGAGCCUUUACCAUCUGUUUGCAAGACGGGCCUUCCCGUGGCUGAGGG